AUUGAUACUCGACUCGUUCUAUCGCAUUAUUGUGCUUCCGUUUGUUCAACCUAUUUAACAAUAAUGGGUGUGAAAUGUGUGAUAUGUAAGACCAGUUAUAACAAGAAGGAAAAGAAUGUACAACUGCAUCAAGUUCCACAAAAGGACGACAUAAUGAAAUUAUGGCUAUCAGUACUAAAUAUGGAACAUAUGAAUCAAAACGCAAAACUUUGUUCAAAACACUUUACAGAACAGGAUUUCAACAUAAGUGUAGUUGGAGAAAAAAAGUAUUUAAAACCUGAUGCAGUCCCAUCUAGAAAUCAAUGGAAAGAUGAGAAAAACAUUGAUUGUAACAACUCUAACGAAGAGAGCAUACAGCAUACAACACUGCAACAUAAAACAUACAUCUUUAAAAAGGACAAGACGUGUUACGAGCUGCAGCUCAAGUGUCAGUACUUCCUGCAGAUGCAGGCGAUGGUGGUUUACGGUGGUCGGCGUCUGACGUCGCGCAAGGCGUCCAAGGUCUUCAACAGUACCGAUUACAUGGCGUACGUUGUAGUCGGGAUAACCAACGAAAGAAGUGACCUUUCAUUGAAGCCGACAUCGGGAGACAUUCUCGCAGGUGCGACGUACCCAAGUCGGUUUUCACGUGCGUCGCAUGAACUGUCAUUGCGGGGAUGUCAAGACACGUCUGGUUUGGUCGGCAAGCAGCGACUCCAGCAUGUACAAUGUCACCUGGCGAGAGAAAUCCUCACGAAAAAGGUCUAGAACGUCGGCGGAAAUCCGUCGCCUGGAAGGUGGUGCAGAUGAAAUUUAAUUUCUCAGACGUCGCACUACGACCUGCGGCAGCUGCGAAACGACUGCACGUACAGCGCAAAUAUGCGAAACAUGCGAGAGUGCGGCGGAAAUGACGACCACGGCAUCAGCAUAGAGUUCUUCGCGACCGGAUGUCGGGACGAUCAGAAAUAGCGGAAGCACCCGCGACGAAAGACCAUGAGAUGUAAGACGACAUCGUCGAGGUCCAAGAGACACUUUUCCGAUCUGAAUAUUCCCAAUGCCAUGGACAUCAUUCCAGAGCGCGGAAGAUUGCCGAUCGACGCAAUCGUAUUUUCUUACUUUUCAUCCUGAUGCUGAAUAAAAUGUAAAUUUUUUUUCUUUAAAAAGAAUGAAUUUUAAUAAGGAAGUAAAAGUAUAAUAGAUUGAUAAUGUUACGUGUACGCUUUGAUAAUACACAAAUCUGAAUUUACGUAGAUUUAGUCUGUACGAAUAAGUUAUGUUUUUAUAAAGUCAGGGUUAUUGACACAUCUUAUUUGUUCGACUUCUGCAGAAUAAACUGACGAUAUUUAUUCUAUUACAAGAAUAUGGUGUAACUGAUUUUAUGUGAUUUAUAUUUUUAUGAGCUAUAAAGUGAUUUUUAUAAAAAUCCGUUUAUGUUACUUGUCAUUCGCUAUCACAAGAAAAUAUAUACAAGUUUGCAGAUUGUU
rnacentral:misc_RNA from 1 species